rnacentral:lncRNA from 1 species
CGCGAGGAACACGAUGAACAGGAUCAGCUUGCGCGAGUGGCGGCUGUCCCGCAGCCAUCGCAGCAGCACCAGAUCGCUCAAGGCCAUAGCUUUGCUUUGCUGUGGGAGCGGUAGACACACACUCACACACACACACACACACACACACACACACACACACACACACGGAGGAGGAGGAGUGCUUUCUGAGGCCCUUCUAUAGGGUCAGAGGGGUCAGAGCUGUGUUCUUAGCCACUUAACAUCCCUGUUACUGUCGCAGGCUCUCAGCAGAGGGGUCUGGCCUUGUUUUAUUAAUGCUCGCCUGUUGUCAGCAGGAGCCUGCUAGGAGCAGCCUUGUGGUGUGUGCUCCUCCCCGCUCUCUCUGAUUCUCUUCUCUUUAGAGAGAGACCCCCUGCGCUUCCCACCAUUACCCUCCCCCCAUGAUAAAAGAUGUGUGGAUGGGAAAAGUAGGUCAGUGACACGGAUCUCUGACAUCUCAGAAUGUGUGUAACUUAAAUAUUAAACAGGGAGGGAGAGGGACCCACUCAGGAGGAGAAAGCAGAUGGCAGAAAACUAAGGUGGCUAUGGAAAGAUGGAAUUCAUGGGCUGGCGCCCCAGCCCCUUGGCUUUGGAGUUUCUGAACCCAAAGGCUCUGACUUGAGCCACAGAAUCAGUGAUUUAUGACAUGUAAGCACUCUUGCCAGAUGCAGGGACC